UGCCAGCAGCCGCGGUAAUACGGAAGGUCCAAGCGUUAAUCGGAAUUACUGGGCGUAAAGCGCGCGUAGGUGGUUUUUUAAGUUGGAUGUGAAAGCCCUGGGCUCAACCUAGGAACUGCAUCCAAAACUAGAUGACUAGAGUACGAAAGAGGGAAGUAGAAUUCACAGUGUAGCGGUGGAAUGCGUAGAUAUUGUGAAGAAUACCAAUGGCGAAGGCAGCUUCCUGGCUCGACACUGACACUGAGGCGCGAAAGCGUGGGGAUCAAACGGGAUUAGAUA
rnacentral:rRNA from 1 species